GACGAACGCCUGGCGGCGUGCCUAACACAUGCAAGUCGAGCGGAGACAUAGGAGAGCUUGCUCAAAUAUGUUUUAGCGGCGGACGGGUGAGUAACGCGUGAGCAAUCUGUCCCACACAGGGGGAUAACACUUGGAAAACAGGUGCUAAUACCGCAUGAGACCACAACGUCACAUGGCGAAGGGGUCAAAGGAGCAAUCCGGUGUGGGGUGAGCUCGCGUCCGAUUAGCUGGUUGGUGAGGUAACGGCCCACCAAGGCGACGAUCGGUAGCCGACCUGAGAGGGUGAUCGGCCACAUUGGAACUGAGAUACGGUCCAAACUCCUACGGGAGGCAGCAGUGGGGAAUAUUGGGCAAUGGGCGAAAGCCUGACCCAGCAACGCCGCGUGAGGGAAGAAGGUUUUCGGAUUGUAAACCUCUGUCCUUGGGGACGAAGGAAGUGACGGUACCCAAGGAGGAAGCCCCGGCUAACUACGUGCCAGCAGCCGCGGUAAUACGUAGGGGGCGAGCGUUGUCCGGAAUGACUGGGCGUAAAGGGCGCGUAGGCGGCUCGGUAAGUUAGAAGUGAAAGUCCCGUUUUCAAGGUGGGAAUUGCUUUUAAUACUGUCGGGCUUGAGUGCAGAAGAGGUAAGCGGAAUUCCAAGUGUAGCGGUGAGAUGCGUAGAGAUUUGGAAGAACACCAGUGGCGAAGGCGGCUUACUGGGCUGUAACUGACGCUGAGGCGCGAAAGCGUGGGGAGCGAACAGGAUUAGAUACCCUGGUAGUCCACGCGGUAAACGAUGAAUGCUAGGUGUAGGGGGUAUCGACCCCUCCUGUGCCGGAGUAAACGCAAUAAGCAUUCCGCCUGGGGAGUACGGCCGCAAGGUUGAAAACUCAAAAGGAAAUUGACGGGGGCCCGCACAAAGCAGCGGAGCAUGUGGUUUAAUUCGACGCAAACGCGAAGAACCUUACCAGGUCUUGACAUCGAUGUAAAGCCCAAGAGAUUGGGUGUCUCUUCGGAGGACAGAAGACAGGUGGUGCAUGGUUGUCGUCAGCUCGUGUCGUGAGAUGUUGGGUUAAGUCCCGCAACGAGCGCAACCCUUAUGAUCAGUUACUAACGGGUAAAGCCGAGGACUCUGAUGAGACCGCCGGGGACAACUCGGAGGAAGGUGGGGACGACGUCAAAUCAUCAUGCCCCUUAUGACCUGGGGCUACACACGUGCUACAAUGGUGAAAAACGAAAGAGAGGCGAAGUCGUAAGGCGGAGCGGAUCUCGAAAAAAAUCGAUCUCAGUUUCGGACUGUGGGGCUGCAACCCGCCCACACGAAAGUUGGAGUUGCUAGUAAUCGCGGAUCAGAAACGCCGCGGUGAAUACGUUCCCGGGCCU
rnacentral:rRNA from 1 species